CAAUAGCGUAUAUUAAAGCUGUUGCGGUUAAAAAGCUCGUAGUUGGAUUUCUGUCAAGUACAACUGGUCCGCCCUCCGGGUGAGCACAUAGUUUGGUCUUGGCAUCUUGCUGGAAAUUGUUGCUGCACUUGGCUGUGUGGCGCAGCGUCCAGCACUUUCACUUUGAGGAAAUUGGAGUGUUUCAAGCAGGCACAUGCCUUUGGACACAGUAGCAUGGAAUAAUUAGAUUGGGCUUUUGCUCCAAUUUGUCGGUUUCUGGAGCUGAGGUGAGAAUUAAUGGGGAUUGUUGGGGGCAUCCGAAUUUAGCCGUCAGAGGUGAAAUUCUUGGAUCUGCUAAAGACGGACAACUGCGAAAGCGUUUGCCCAGGAUGUUUUCAUUGA
rnacentral:rRNA from 1 species